GGACGGGUGAGUAACGCGUGAGGAACCUGCCUUUCAGAGGGGGACAACAGUUGGAAACGACUGCUAAUACCGCAUAACACAUCGGAGUCGCAUGGCUCUGAUGUCAAAGAUUUAUCGCUGAAAGAUGGCCUCGCGUCUGAUUAGCUAGUUGGUGAGGUAACGGCCCACCAAGGCGACGAUCAGUAGCCGGACUGAGAGGUUGACCGGCCACAUUGGGACUGAGAUACGGCCCAGACUCCUACGGGAGGCAGCAGUGGGGAAUAUUGGGCAAUGGGCGCAAGCCUGACCCAGCAACGCCGCGUGAAGGAAGAAGGCUUUCGGGUUGUAAACUUCUUUUGUCAGGGACGAGUAGAAGACGGUACCUGACGAAUAAGCCACGGCUAACUACGUGCCAGCAGCCGCGGUAAUAC
rnacentral:rRNA from 1 species